rnacentral:rRNA from 1 species
CAGUAGCGCGGGAAUACGUAGGUGGCAAGCGUUGUCCGGAAUUAUUGGGCGUAAAGGGCUCGCAGGCGGUUUCUUAAGUCUGACGUGAAAGCCCCCGGCUCAACCGGGGAGGGUCAUUGGAAACUGGGAAACUUGAGUGCAGAAGAGGAGAGUGGAAUCCCACGUGUAGCGGUGAAAUGCGUAGAGAUGUGGAGGAACACCAGUGGCGAAGGCGACUCUCUGGUCUGUAACUGACGCUGAGGAGCGAAAGCGUGGGGAGCGAACAGGAUUAGAUACCCGGGUAGUCCCUGUCUCUUAUACA